rnacentral:rRNA from 1 species
GUGAGGAAUAUUGGUCAAUGGACGAGAGUCUGAACCAGCCAAGUCGCGUGAAGGAAGACGGUUCUAUGAAUUGUAAACUUCUUUUGUGCAGGAAUAAAGUGGGUUACGUGUAACCUUUUGUAUGUACUGUACGAAUAAGGAUCGGCUAACUCCGUGCCAGCAGCCGCGGUAAUACGGAGGAUCCGAGCGUUAUCCGGAUUUAUUGGGUUUAAAGGGUGCGUAGGUGGAUUGAUAAGUCAGCGGUGAAAGUUUGCAGCUUAACUGUAAAAUUGCCGUUGAAACUGUCGGUCUUGAGUGCAAAUGAGGUAGGCGGAAUGUGUUGUGUAGCGGUGAAAUGCUUAGAUAUAACACAGAACUCCGAUUGCGAAGGCAGCUUACUGGGAUGCAACUGACACUGAUGCACGAAAGCGUGGGUAUCAAACAGGAUUAGAUACCCUAGUAGUCC